AGCAAAGCGGUGCAGGAUCUGCAGCAGCUGGUGCUAUCGGUGCUGCCGGAGCACGUGGCCACUCCAGGUGCUGAAUUCUGGGCUUGAGGGACCUGGAGGAGCUGGUGCAGCAGGGCAGCCUGUCCUGCUGCAGCUCUGCCAAUGACCAGAGCGAGGAGCAGCGUGGAGCAUCAGCUUGCGAGUCAAGUGCUGAGGGACAGACACGUGGGCCACGGUGCUCCUGCUCCAGCUGCAACCGCAGCAGCAAAGCGGUGCAGGAGCUGCAGCAGCUGGUGCUGUCGGGGCUGCCUGAGCACGUGGCCGCUCUAAGCCCUGAAUUCUGGGUGGUGGCCUGGACGGACCUGUUGGAGAGAGUGGAGUGGGGCAUCCUGUGCUGCUGCAUCUGCCCCGUACCAGAGAAAGGAGCGACGUGGAGCAGCAGUCCUGGAGUCAGGUGCUGACAGACAGAUGUCUGGGCCAUGGUGCUGCUGCCCCAGCUGCAACUGCUGUAGCAAAGCUGUGCAGCAGCUGUAGCUGGUGCUAUUGAGGCUGCCUGAGCACCUGGCCACUCUGGGCCCUGAGUUCUGGAUGCGGCCUGGCGGGACAUGGCAGAGCUGGUGAAGCAGGGCAACCUACCUGGUGCAGCUCCCCCAGGGUAGAGAGCUCUACCAGAAGGAGCAACAAGUCCCUUAAUGUGCACCAAGGAGCCUUGACAGUGCAGGUCCCUGUCCGUGCCUAUGGACACAUGCAUAGUGGCAUGCCCCACACGCACUGCAAAACCCAGGCCUGCUGCCUGCAGUCCUUUCUGCAGCGUGGUCAGGGCUCCUCUUUGCAGCACCAUGGGGAAACCAGGCUGCUUCCAUCGGCAGGAUCUGAUGGCAAAAAGCCUGCCCAGGCAAAGAAUGAAGGUGGCAAGGCAGCCAGCAGAGCAGUAGAAGAUGCCACUGAGGACUGCUUGUCCAGCCGGCCACCAGCAGAGGACUGCAUUGUCCUGUCUGCCAGAGCAUCCUCCUCCCAGACGGACGGCUGCCUCAGAGGCCGGAUAAUCUCGUGCC